AAGGAGAAACUGGAUCUCUUUGUCAUACUUGGAGAGGUUCAUCCUAAAACCCCCUAUCCAACUGUUCAGCUACUUCAUGAAGACUGGAAACCAGUGUUCUCCAGAAGCGCUCCAAACAUUGUGAAGUUGGAUGGCAGUGAAGUGUGCAGAAGCUCGUGUAUUUUUGAAGGAAUCAUCUCUUCUUUCUGCUUGUAUUUUGUCUUCAACCUUGCUUAUCCAAAACAUCUGAAGAACACCCUGAUUUUUCUCCAAAAGUACAUUGUGAAAAUAGAUGAGGGUGAGGACCGGCCUCUGCCAAUCACAGUCACCAGACAAAUAAAUCUUCUGUAUUGACCACCAUGCCAUUGAUAGUGAAUGGACGGUGCUAAAACCUGGACAGGAAAUUGAUGUUGCAGCUUAUGACACAUACUCUGUUGAUAACAGUUUGUAUGUAACAGUUAAGCAAUGUAUUUAAGAAGGUAAUAAAUGUGACAAGUAUUUUUGA